rnacentral:snoRNA from 1 species
UAACACCUUCAAUAGUAGGAUCAUUUCUAUAGGUCACGUCCCUCUUUGACUCUUCUAAAGAGCCACUGAAUCCAACUUGGUUGAUGAGGUAGAUACCUUUGUGCCCUUUCGAGUGAGAAUUCUUUAGCUUGUCCACGGUCCUUUGCGGCCUGGUCAUCUGAUUUAUAUUUUUGCCUUUAUUUCAUGGUUGAACCUCUGGUUCGACCAUUUAAAGGAGCGAUGAUCUUGACCCUCUCGACGUGCCUCUCUGGGGUGGUCGAGCCUGGGUGGGCACAAAUGGCUGUCUGACAAGU